rnacentral:lncRNA from 1 species
UUUAAAAUGUAUUUGCUACCACAAAGGAUAAGAGAAGUUCCAUCCUCUUAUGAAAACAUUGUUACUGAGGUCUAGCGAGUUUCAGCAACAGUUUUCCUAUAGGUUGAAAAGGGGGUCGUUUAAUAGGAAUAAAAACCUCCAUUCUUUUUAUAUUUUUUGUGAUCUGUAUUUACAAAGGAUUGAAGUAAGCAUUCCACUAACUCACAGAGUUGAACAUUUAGAAGGCAGUUUUAUGGUUGCUGUCAGGCUUUUACUUUAGUCAGUCUCAAUGAGUGACAUAAUAUGCAGUCUCAUGUAUGUAUUGAAUUUAGUGGCUUAAUGAAGGCUAUUUACAUGCAGAAAGCUAUCUGCAUUCAUCAUAAUAUACUUGAUUCUUUCAGCCAUAAAUAAAUUGAAUAUAACUGUAUUAUUUAAAACUCUAGCUGGAGGAGUCUUAGAUGAGUUGGCAUUGCUGUUUGCUGGCAUUGGAGCAGUAGCUAAGUUGGUUGGUUUUGUGGUUAAGAGAGUCACUGAGCACAGUUUACAUGGUCAGCACUGCUGUUGUGAGAAACAGUGUUAACUCACUUGUCACUUUCUGUCAUGUCUAGACUUGUGUUGAGAUGUGUCACAUUCUCAGCCUACUUUGUGUGAUAAGCAAAAACAUAAUGGGAAAAGCUUUUUAAAUAACAGGUCUUAGCUUUUUAAAAUUGGGGGUUUCAAAAACAACAAGAGAUGCUGAAAAGAUGUUACCUUUUACUUUGGUCAGAUCAUUACGUAUGCUCUGACAUCUUAAUUUUCUAUACUUAAAGUCUGUAUUAGAAAUAUCUGUAUAAGUAUAUACAUAAUUAAAAUGUAGCUCAGAAAUAUGAUUCAACAGUGGAGUUUUUUUUUUCUGGAAAAAAUAUAGUCCUAUUGUAUCAGAUUUAUUUUACUUUAUUAUGGCUAAUAUUCUAAAAAGAAUGUUUAAGCUAUUUUAAAUUCUUGUGCCUCUUCCCCCAAAGGAUAUUUAAAAAUAUGAUCUUAUAUUAACUUUAUAUUCUUUCUUCAUAAAUUUUGCCUUAAACAUUGUGCCUUGUUUUAUUAGAAUCUAAUUCUGGCUUUUGUAACAACAUUUUAUUUUAAACAGACAUUUACUUUUAAAAAAUCCUUAUAAUGCUUGUAUUUGCUAUAUCACUGCUUAUCUGUUUAUUGAAUUUAUUGAAUACACAACUCCAAACACUAAGCGUGUUUUAGCAUUUAUUGUAUGUACUAGAUAAAAGAGAAAAUAAAGAUACAGUGUGUUCUUCUG